CGCGGGGUAGAGCAGUCCGGCAGCUCGUCAGGCUCAUAACCUGGAGGCCGUUGGUUCAAAUCCAACCCCCGCAA
rnacentral:tRNA from 1 species